GAUGCGACCUCAGCUCAGGCGGGGCUACCCGCUGAGUUU
rnacentral:rRNA from 1 species